rnacentral:rRNA from 1 species
AAACUAACAAGGAUUCCCCUAGUAGCGGCGAGCGAAGCGGGAAGAGCUCAAAUUUAUAAUCUGGCACCUUCGGUGUCCGAGUUGUAAUCUCUAGAAAUGUUUUCCGCGUUGGACCGCACACAAGUCUGUUGGAAUACAGCGGCAUAGUGGUGAGACCCCCGUAUAUGGUGCGGACGCCCAGCGCUUUGUGAUACAUUUUCGAAGAGUCGAGUUGUUUGGGAAUGCAGCUCAAAUUGGGUGGUAAAUUCCAUCUAAAGCUAAAUAUUGGCGAGAGACCGAUAGCGAACAAGUACCGUGAGGGAAAGAUGAAAAGCACUUUGGAAAGAGAGUUAACAGUACGUGAAAUUGUUGGAAGGGAAACGCUUGAAGUCAGACUUGCUUGCCGAGCAAUCGGUUUGCAGGCCAGCAUCAGUUUUCCGGGAUGGAUAAUGGUAGAGAGAAGGUAGCAGUUUCGGCUGUGUUAUAGCUCUCUGCUGGAUACAUCUUGGGGGACUGAGGAACGCAGUGUGCCUUUUGGCGGGGGUUUCGACCUCUUCACACUUAGGAUGCUGGUGGAAUGGCUUUAAACGAC